rnacentral:rRNA from 1 species
UACGAAGGGAGCUAGCGUUGUUCGGAAUCACUGGGCGUAAAGCGCACGUAGGCGGAUGUGUCAGUCAGGGGUGAAAUCCCGGAGCUCAACUUCGGAACUGCCUUUGAUACAGCACGUCUUGAGUCCGAUAGAGGUGGGUGGAAUUCCUAGUGUAGAGGUGAAAUUCGUAGAUAUUAGGAAGAACACCGGUGGCGAAGGCGGCCUGCUGGGCAGUAGCUGACGCUGAAGCGCGACAGCGUGGGGAGCAAACAGG